UCGGCGCUCACACAGCGACGGCGGGCCGUUGCCCACUCGCCGCCGAUGGUCCCGGCACAACAUGGCGGCCGCCGGCCGGGCCGGACAUUGAGUACCGCUACCCUCGUUCCGCCCGCGGGGCCGAGGCCGCCGGGGACAGCGCCCGGCCCGGCCGUCUGCGCACGGAAGCUGAUGUGAAAGAAACCAACUAUGAAGGAUCCGAGGAGAAUUCGUACUGCCUGUUUCCACAAUUACUAACAAGUGCUUUCCUGCUGCACCUUCAGAUUGAGAAGAAAUUCUCAUGGAACUGAUGGAGUUGACCUUAGAAACCUACAACUGGAAGUGUGAUUCAACCACUGCUGGGGUUUUUGUCACCUUCAGACCUGUGUUGUGAAUAUGAACUUUUAGAGUGCUGUUACUCUGAAGAACCUCAAGGAGGGAUACCCAUUUUGGAAACCUGUGAGCUCAGUUAAGAAAAUACACCGAGAUGGCUGACCAGAGUGCAGAAUAACAUUGAAAGCAGCAGUGAUCUCUGCAAGAUUACCUGGUGAUGCUGGAGAGUGAUUAUGACUGCAGGGAGCACGGUGCUGGUCAGUACAGAAGGGCUUGUAAAGUGAGCUGAGGAUGAGAUGGAUUUACCACACAAGUCUUGGCGCUCUCGGUAUCCACAUCAUCAGUGAGCUGCAGAUAAACACAGCACACACAUCAGAGGAUGGAUGCGGAGGUGGACUGGGACUCUGAAAAUAGCACUUGUGAUACAGGUGAGGAGCUGUCAAAUGAUUCCAGAAAGAGCACUAAGGAGGUGGGCUACAAGUCUUGCCUCCAGGAGGAGGUGGGCAUGAAUUACUCACAGACGCUCAGUCCUUGUCACAACUCUGCAGGACCAUCAGAUAAACAGGAACUUUCUACAGAGUUGCAGCAUGAAGACAAAGAAAUCUAUCAGACCUAUUACCAGAAACAAGGUGAGAGUACAGCUGGGAUAUUUGUCCCCUCCAGUACCAACUUGAACCUGCAGCGCGAAGAUAAAACCUCGCAGCGUGGUUCCUCUGAGCACUCCAAGAGAUCACGGAGAAGAGCACGUGGUGAUAAUGAAAAUGCCCUUCUUGGUGGUGUGUUUGAUGCAGAGCCUGCAUCUGGGAAGGCUUUGUCCUAUCGGUGCAAGAAAUGCGGUGCCUCUUUCCAGGGGCCGAGUGAGCUGCAGCAGCAUAAGAGGACUCACCUCGUGGAAAACUCAUACCGCUGUCCUGUCUGUGCCAAAGAGUUCUUCCGUGCAGCAAACUUACGCAUGCACAAGCUCAUUCAUAACAGUGACAGGCCACACAAGUGCCCAGAGUGUGACAAGGGUUUCAUUCGCACGGCUGAUGUCUGGAGGCACCUCCGCAAUGUGCACAAGAUAGAGCGCUCCAUGGUGAUCUUAGGCAACGGCAUGGCUAGGAACCCGUGGUCGAUAGUGCACCGUAACCAGCACACUGUUGAGUACACCGAUCAGCCUUGUGCAGACAACCACAAGGCUGAGGAAGAAGACUGUAAGCCUUACGCCUGCCCAACGUGUGGCAAAGGUUUCGAUAAGCCAAACCUGCUUUCCAAACACAAAGUGAUCCACCGGCAGGAGAAGCCCUAUAAGUGUCAGGAAUGUGGCAUGGCGUUUGUCCAGCUGCUCAGGCUGAAAAGACACCAGCAGACUCACUCUGGGGUGCGUCCCUUCUAUUGUGAGGAGUGUGGAGGGACGUUCACAAGGCUGGCCUCGCUCCAGCGCCACCAGCGCAUCCACACCGGAGAGAAGCCCUACUCUUGUGAUUACUGUGGGCAUUCCUUCACCGAGUCAGGUGCAGAUGGUCAGUGAAGAAAAGUAUCUGCUGUGACUGCAGGUUCAGGUAGAUGUUGCCAAAUUCUACCUGAGUGUGACUUUGGAAGAGGUAUGUAUUGCCACUGUUAUGGUAAUGGGGUUUUAACUUUGAAGCAUAAUCAUGAUGCUUACAAUAGCUUCUUGUUAACUACUGUGGUAGAAGCAUCCAAUUUGCCCUUAAGUGCCAGCUCAGAUUUCUUUUCUGUCAGAAAGCUUUGCUUCCUUUCCCUGCCAGCUGCUGUGAAUUCACUAGUUUCUGUCUAAUGCAUUCUGCCUUUUCAGCAGGAGGCUGUGCAGCAGAGUGAAAGUAAAACUUCAGGGUAAUGUACCUUUGCAUUUACUACCAGACUAUUUAAUGUAAAGUAGUGGUUGUGCCAUUCGACUGCAUCUUUUGCAGGUAAAAAUAGCUUGUAUUCUCCUGUGUUUCUGUGCAGAUGUGAAGUCCCAAGACUGUGUGUAAGAGCUUGGACUGAAUGUGAUGCUGUUCCUGGGGUGAUGGCUGCUCAGCAGGCAUGCUGCACUCAUGCUUGGUACAGCGUUUGAUGUGAGGUCCUUGGCUCAGAUCAAGCUGAACCACUGUCCUCAGCAGCACUUCAGCUUGACUGCAGAAAAGAGACUAAUUCUCCCAGUCUCACUAGUGGAUUGCUUUGAUUUGAUUCAUCAAAGGAGUUUCUGGAUCAGGGAUCAGAUCUGCAUUCCUGUUCUUAGGAAUGUGUUGUGCUGUCUCUGAAAUGAUGUAAUGCAGAUACCUGUGCCAAGGCCCUCCAUACCAUGUACAUUUACUAAAGCGGUGAAUGAGAUUUCUCCAAGCUACCCCUGCAGGGAGUGCCAAUACUGAAAGGCUUUUCAGAGACAGACCUCAUCUGAGGGCUGCUUCAUCUCUGUAAGGAAAGAUCUUCAAAUGGAAAGAGUUCUGGCUAGAAGGAAACGGUGGGUAAAUAACCUGCUGAGAGAGGUGCUGUUGUGUAGGGACUGCGUUGUAGUCUGAAGUGACCCAGAGAGGGGGAGGACAGCAAGGAGCAAAGCCAUCCCAGGAGCUGUCACACAUUAAGUGUACACCCUCCUCUAAACCCAUAUUGAGUUGUCAGCCACAGUCUCCCCUUUUUCAGCAUCUUGCUUUCCCUUGGUAUGCUGUGCUCUUGCUGUAGGGGGGUUUGGUAUCUAAUUAAACUGCACCAGUAUGCACAGCUUUAUGCUGUUUGACUGUUCUGCUUAGGCAGUUGUGGUAAUUAGGAACAUCCAGUUAUUCUGCUCGUUGGGGUUAGCAGCCGGUGCAAUUUGUACCUGUAAAAGCAUAAUGGUGGAAGUGUUUUGAACAAAGGCCCGUUUAAUGGGGAAAGUAAAUGGCUGGUGAAAUGGAAACUGCUAGGCUUAACUGAAAGCUUAUUAAAAAGAUACUUGCCUGGAAGGUUGACUUGGAUAUCGAGUGCUCGGAUGUGUGAAGGGAGUAAUUAAAAUGUGUGAUGAUUUCUGGGAAAAACCUGUUGAACCCUCUGCAAAGAAACUUCCACAAACUCCUGCACAAGCUGCAGGAAAUCCAUUGCAACUUAAUUUAGCCCGGAGAUCAUCAUUUCUUCCAAGCUUUAAUACAAGGGUUUGGAAGUCAUCUGACCCUCUCUGUGUGAAUUGCAGGCUCUUCUCAUCACCUGAUGGUGUUGGUGAGCAGUGGAAUGUAGAAAUACAGAGUGGAGCAUGACACGCUGGAAAUAGAAAGGAGAACUGUGUUUUUAUUGUGAUUCUUCCCAAGCAGGCCUGCUUCUGUUCAAGCUGCCAGCACAGAUGCAAGACCUGAGGUCCUUCUCACUUCUGGAUGCAUGCAGGUGCACACCUGUUGUAUGCUGUGGGUCUGUACAAAUGCUUGCUCAACACCACUGCAGUGCAUGUGAGUUAAAAGCACAAGAGACUUUCUUUUAAACUGCUCAUGGCAUACAUGAGUAGGUCUGUAGACAGGGUAUUUAUUCCCAGUGUAUUCACUUGAGAUACAACAACAGUUUUAAAAUAGCUCGGGGAUUGAAGAGUCUGUGUAAACACAAAUAAUAUCCUCAAUUUUAAGUACAUCAUUUUCUUCUCAGUUCUACAAGUGUUACACGGCAUCCACUUUGUAAUAGCUGCACAGUAAUUACUGCAAGAGUGAAAAAUAAAGCUAGGCUUCCCCCUGCCUGGCCAGUCCUUAGCAGCUAUGGUAAUAUCACAAUACAAGCACAUUUGUAUGUUGUUUACAGAUAUAUUUAUGUGUCUGCAAUGUUGUAGCACAGCCAGAUGGGACCAUGGCUAACUUCUGCAGCAGGUUUUCUUACCACUCUGAAGAAGAGCAAAAAAUCUGGGAUGUGGCCUCAGAGGGUGUGUGAUGCUGGCAGCAGUGUUGUUGAGGCCCAACCUGCUAAGUCAAGUGGAAGCAAACUGGAAACAAGGGCAUCUCUCACUUUGGGUAUGCCUCCACAGACUGAUGUGCUUUCUUGCCCCUGUUGAGACAGAAGACAGCCAGCUCUGAGCAAGGAAAAGCCUGGCCUGAUUUGUUUUGCUCACACUCAUAGAAGGAGAAGCAAAUUUGGGGUGCAUUGUGCGCUUGCCUGUCUUUUCACCUGACUUCCUUUUAAAUACACAGAUUGCUAUCAUUGCAUUUUUGCUUCUCUCACCACGAAGCACCAUUGAGGAAGAGUUUAUAGUGACUUCUCUGUCACAUGUUGUAAAGAUUUGCUGGAUGAGUGCGUACAGACGUAUAAAACAUGACCACAACCCCCAGCAGUGAUUUGAGCAUUUGCUUUCCUUAUUCUUCCAGACUGUUCCCAGGUCCCUCCCAGAAGCACUUGUAUGCAGGGGGUUGGACAGGCUGAAGCAGAGUCAUGCAGACACUGCAGAAGUAUCUUCAUCUUGCUUAUGUGUAGGGCAAGGAGAUGCUCAUUCUAAAACCACAGUAAAUAUUUUACUUCCAGAAGGUCAGUGUUAAACCCUGGGUAUAGUCAGUCUUGAAGUGCGUGAGACUAAAAUCCUGGGAUGCUCUGGCUUGAAGAACAUAAAGAAUUUUCUUAUGCUGUUGUAUGUGGCCAGCUGAGCUCUGUGGAGGAGCAAGUAUGGAUGCUCCAAAGCUGGUUUCCAACCAGAGGUUCUCUUUCUGUGCCCAAGAUACCCAGGUGCAGCUGACUUGGGAAGUAAGUGAUGCUGGAUGGUGAGAGACGGCAUGGGAUGGGCUGCAGUUCCAUUGUGGAUCUGCUCUCAGGUUGCUGGAAAGAUCUUGCAGGCAGGUGCUGCAAAUCUGAAAAUGGGGCUCUGAAGCUCUUUGUGGGCAGGGGACCUAGCUGGCAAAAAGCUGCUUUUGUCACUAGUGAGACUGGGUAAACCAGAUAUUGACCAGUAUGUCUCUCUGCUAUCCUGUGGAAAACCCUUGGGUUCCAGCUUUUGAGGAGACAGCAAUAACUAAUAAUUAAUUAUCAAAACAGAAGGAAUAAAUAAAUCAAAAAAAGAAGCACCAAAAUUGCUUCUUGCCCUUUUGUUCUUUUCAGCAAGCUGGUGAGAACAGGAUGUUCCCAGCAGUAACUUUUAAUUAUUUCACCAUUGCACAUCUCUUUUAUGCUGCAAGUUAGAAAUGUCAGUUUAAUUUUCUUUUAAUUGCCUCAGCUACCAGGUACUUGAGAAAAGCCAUUUUCUCCAACCCUCUGCUCCCUGUUCUUGGCCUGAGAGAGGAGCUUACUGAUGUGAAAACACUCAGUGCUUUGGGAAGGGGCUGUCCCAGGAGGAGAGUGAAGAGUGCAAAUAUUUUGCUCGUAAUUACUGGACCUGGUGUGCUGUAGGUGAGAGAGCUGUUCAAAGCACUGCUCAGUGGCAGCAGAGAGAGAGGAGGUUUCAAUGUGGUUUUCCACACCUAUUCCAGUGUGGGAUUUAAACCUAGUAGUCAGGGUUCUCCCCACCCCAUGCAAAGCACAUGGUGGCAAGAGCCACUAUCGUUAAUUCCAGAGGCCCUGAUGCUCUGCCAGGUUUCAGGUCCAGUGGUUGUUUCUCAUCUUGACUCACAUGUUGCAAUGCCAGGUGAGCAGCAGAAGCCUCUCCAGGAUGGCUCAGCAAAGAAAAAAAGCUUUGUAUUAUUGCAGAAUCAUGCAGUAUAAAAAGCCCCAAUCUUAAUAAAGGUCACCUGGCUGCCCAGAGCAUUUCCAGAGAAAUAAAAAUAGCAAGAGGAUGAGAAAGCAGUGAGGACGUGUGGGAGCUGUGACAGCACUGGUGGGAAAGUUGCCCCACAGGCUCAGCAGGAAAGUGCCCAGCGUGCCACCAGCAGAACGAAUCAGGACUGAUGCUUUGCUUAUAUUUUCACUCAUUCUCUUUGCAGCUUUGCCAGCAGCUCCGCAGGCUCUGCCCUGCGCCAUGUGAAGCAGCUCUGGGAGCUCGUGCUGGAGGAAAGCUCCUACGCUGCUGCAAGGCAGGAGAUGUGGGAGGAGGGCAGGUAUUGCUGGCUGCAAACUACAGUAUUUUCUGAAAUUAACACAAAAAGAAUCACAUCCAGAACCAGCACAUCAGAUGCUUCCCCCCCUUCUCCCCACCCAUAUUCAUCGGUUCAGGAGGCUGUGAUGCCAAGUGGCAACUCCAUAUGGGUAAAUAUGAAUUUGAAUGGCUGUCAGGGGAGGAUCAGCACCUAGCGAUGCCUUCAGGGUGCAGCAGCCUGAUGUAUUACAGACAGCCAACGAGACUGACUUUGCCUGUCAGUGUGACGAAGAGGCACUGCUCUGCUGUAAGGCAGGGAAUAGGGCAAGCAGCCAGGACACAGAGCCCCAGGGAGCUUCGAAGGGAAGUGAAUGUGGGCUGAAAUCCUCAUCCCUGCAGCACGUGGAUAAGACAUUUGGUUCUUUGUGAUGGCUGCUCUUUUUGUGGUCCCUGAAUGGUGGGGUUCUUCCUUUCCUGCUGUGCACCUUCCCCUCUUGCAUCAUCCGGCUGGUACUCAUUCUCCCCAUCAUUCUCCAGCAAUUAAUGCUAGAUGUAACAUCACCAUGCUGUUUCCUUCAGAAAUAGUCUACCAGGAUGGGAAAGAAGCCAUCUAGAUCCAUGCAGAAGCCUGUCACCCUGACUUUCAGCCUGACUUUGGGGACAGUCUCUGCCACCAGCAAGACCCAGACUGAGGCAGCAGAAAGAUUGGUCCUGAUGGAGGAAACAAGGAGGCACUCGGCACGACGAACAGCAAAAAUAGAUCAAACAGCAGGAAAUCCGCUCUCUGACAGCGCAGGAGAGCCACGCAGUGGAAAGCACUGGUCCAGCAGGAGGUCGUCCAAAACAAACAUGGAACUGCUUUGCGGGGCAGCCCAGCUGGCGGGCAGGAUGGGCAGACAUUCUGCCUCACUGCCAUCCCUGCAGACAGUCAGGGAGGAGAUAUCCCAGCUCAUGAUAGGGAGAAGGAUCCCUUCUCACCACCGCCUGAAGUGAUCUGCUGGAUUCUUUCAUCAGAAUGAGUUUAUCAGCCUGAGUGCCAUCAGUGCAGAAGCGUAGAAUGGCUCAAGUUGGAGGGGACCUUAAAGAUCACUCAGCUUCAACCCCCAAUGGUUCUAUGCGUCCUCCUCAGGGAGGCUGGCUCCAAACAUAGCUUGGCUUUGUUCUGCUCCAGUGGAAUGUUUGUAUGGAUGCAAACUUAGACCUAAAUGUCCUGCAGGGACAUGGUGCUCAUAGAAGCAACUGCUCACCAAAACGAACGGGGAGUUGAAUGGUGCCUCUUGCAUUGCUGUGGCACUGCCAGCGUUGUUGUGCAGUGGCUUUUCCAAAGUGGAGAUCAAAGAAGUAGAGAUUGAAGACUCAUGAGUGCUCCUGAUGGCAUGUUCUACUGGCUUCCAUGGGGAAGGAAGGAUUGAAAUGAGGGGUGUUUUCUUUGUUGGAUGAAACUUGGACUUGCCCAAGUGCUCUUGUCCUUGGACAGUGAUUUGGCAGUGAAAGCUGGCAAGGAUUCCAGGGCAAAAAAAGGCUAAGUGCAUCCUGAAGCAUAUGCUAUGCUCAUAAAUGGAAAGGAGGGAUCUUCUCAUCUACAAGAAGAAAUUGUUGUGGUGUAACAGAAGAACAUGUUGGUUUUCUGUGCUACUCCCUGUAGGCAAAAUUAGGUUUUAACUGCAAGCAAGCAAACCAAAGAGCUAACAGGUGAGAUUGUGCAACAUCCAAACUAUCGCCCUUACAGGGCACACAGGCAAUAGCUGGGGUUUUCCUGCAUCUACCAAGUGAGUAGUGCUAGCAGUGUUUAAUAUUGAGUAAUCCUUCGGGGAGUGCUGCAUGAUCUGUGGUGGUCUUAGAGAGAGAAUUCUGUGAGCUGAGAGAUGGAAGCGACAGUAGUGAUACAAAGCUCAUUGAUAUAGAACGCAAGGUCCUUGGGCCAGAGGAGCAAUAGCAUAUGUUAAAGUAGGACUUUGAUGUCUGGAGGUGGCAGAGAAAGUCACCACCUGAAUGCUGCAUUCAAAAGGCAGAUGCACGUUUAGAAUAUCAGGGUUAUGAAGGUUGGAAAGGGCCACUAAAAUCAAGUCCAGCUGCCAACCCAUCAUCACCACGGCUUUCAGUGCCACGUCUAUGUAUUUCUUGGCUAUUCUCAUGGCAGUGUCUCUCCGUUGACGUUAAAACCUCCAGGUCAGGAGCCACCAAGAUGUCUGCUGGAUCAGAGGGUGCAGAUCUGACCAUCCUUAUUCCAGAAAAUGUCAGCUGGGGGCAAGCACGUUGCAAAUGAAGGUGAAGGAGGCAUGAGGACUGGAGGUGAUUGUCCCUCAGUUUUCCAGCUUGGCAGUGGCAGGCGCUGAGCUCAGUUUCCACCCCUGCCAGGCAGAAGAAAGUGUUCUUCUCCUUUUUGCCUCCUAAUGAUGAUGACAGUGCUCCUCUUGCACUGUGUGUGUCCUUAAUGCUGAAAGACCCUUCUUGUGCUUGGUGCUAGUGUUCCCAGCCCUUGGCUUGGGCAGGGUAUGCCAGCCAACUGGACAACCAUUCGUUCCUCUGAGAGCCUGUCUGUUCUGCAAUUAAGAGACAAAAUGCCCACCACUGUGGCUGGAAAAAGGUUUUAAUUAAAAUCCUUUGGUGUUGGCCUUGACUGGACUAUAGAGUGAACAGGAGGAGGGCAGAAGACCAAGGUCAUGUCUUGGGUCACCUCAGCAGAGCAUCCCUGAGCUGGGGCUGAGCACAAGGCAGGGCCUGGUUUUUAAUUGCUUUUUUUUUUUCCUCUUUGCCCUUGGGUGACCUGUCCAAGGGAUGGUCACAAUCACAUAGGAUACUGCCAACCCAAAGUUGGGACAGGUCCACAGGUCCUUUGUGUCUUAAUGAGGAACCAUGAAUAGGAGUUCACAUCACACACAAAUGAAAACACCUCACCAUUAUCCCUAAUGAGUGUCACUCUUAAAAUGCUUUUGUUAUGGUCUUUGGGCUUGUAGAGGUGCCUGGGGCCCUGUCUCCUGACAGGGUGACUGCUGUCACCUUCCCCAUCUCCCAUGGCCAGCAGAAAGAUGACCUGGUAGACCUGUAAUAUGUGUGGUUCCCCAACUGCUGUAUCUACAGAUGCUACAGUUUGCUACAGUUUGCUCUGCUGGGGAAAGCCAUGGAAAUUCAUGGAAGAAUCACCAAAUAAGCCCCAGGAAGCGUGGAGGGUCUCCGUGUCAUCCUGCUUGCUUAUGUGGUAGCCAGCUCUCUGGACCUUUUUCUGUUCCCUCUGCUCAGGACAAAAUGAUGGAUUUUCUGGUUUGCAUGCCAAUGAGUAAGAAAGAUUAAUCAUAUAAUCACUAAGGUUGGAAAGUACUACUAAGACCAUCUAGUCCAACUCCAACCCAUACCCACCCAUGCCCUCUAAGCUACGUCCCUUUGUGCCACUGUGGCAUGGGAAAGGGUUUUACUUUUCAUUUGGUCUCCGGCCUAGAGAAAUCAAUGGUCUUUUACAAGUUUAAAAACAAAAAUAUAUCCUUUUCUGCUGCUGUUUAAAUGCUUCUCUCUUGCCUUAGGCUGUGAUUUUGCGCUGUACUGUCUGAGCACCACGGGAGAUCCUCAGCCCAUGCUGGUGAAGGAGAUGGCAUCAAGGCGAACUGAGAGCUUGGUGGAUGGAUUUGGGAUGGAUUGCUACAUGGCACAGCAUGAGCCCAUCCCUCAGAGCCAGGACCAUUCCCCUGCAGGGAUAUAUGGUGCGGGAUGUGGCGUGCAGGAGAGCAGCAGAGGCAUCCCAUGUGGGCAUCAAGGCAGAUCCCUCCACAAGCCCUUUUUGGAGAUGAAAUCAACAUUUUAGGACGGUGGUGGGGGGACUUAUUUUACCGUUCCCUUAGAAAAAUGCCCUUUUGGAUGCCAAAAUACAGCAGACAAAGAUGCUGGCCACAUUUUCCCCCUCCCUUUCAAACCCCUUUCUGCACGGUGACAUUUCCCAUUUCCAAACCCUGCUCUCGAUUUCUUAUUCCUUCCUUUUCCCCUCCUAUUUCCCCUCCCUCCCUCUGAGCCCCCUGGGACCGGGCCCCUGCCCAGGGAGCCCUGGCCGUGUGCCGAUGGCAGCUCCUGGCACAAUGAGCACAUUCAGCCGGGCACCGCGCAGCGAGGAACAAACCAGGCAAGAGCAUGGGACCCCCCCUGACCCCUCAUUGCCUCCCCCAAAUAGCAGCGCAAGAAACAAAGCGGCUGAGGCUGUGUCCCAGUGCGCCGGCGGAGGCGAACUGGAAUCCAGCAUCACAAAACCAGCCCUGUGCAUGCUCCAUUCACGACGCAGGCGCGCGGGUGUCCUGCUCCCCCCUCCCUGCCUCCAUCCCCCCAAAAUCUCCAAAUCUGCCCGGUAACACCGAAGCAGGCUCCCUUUCCCAGGCUUUGGCCAAUCUGCGCGCUGCCAAGGCGGCGGUGCAGGGAACGGCAUGUUUUCCUUCUCCCUUUCUUCCUUCCGAGCCGCUUGUUUUUCUUCGGGGAUGGAGGGGAGGUGCUGGGCUGAGCUCAUGGGCUGCCCCCGCUUUAGCACACGUGUCCUUUCCCCAUAAAAAAAUGAUAAUAAUAAUAAUAAAAAAGGUUCAAAGGAAGCCUUGUUUUUCACUGCAGGCAGAUAAGAGAUUUUUUGGGGGGUGGGAUAAAGGAGGGAAGGAGAGCAAGGAAAGCAGGCUUUCAUCCUCCCC